CUGCUUUUCAUUGUCUCUUUGCCAGGACAGAGUGGAGUUCAAAGCACAGGAGUAAGAUUCGGCAUUCAUGGGAGCCUACUGACAAGAUUUCAUCCCAGCUAUUAACCUCUCAGCACUCAGAGCCUGGCUCACAAUGGUGAACUGGCCCACUCUCCCUGGCUUCACAUCUCAUUCAAAGCAACUUUUAACUACCCUGGAUUUACUUCUGAGCCGUAUCUCUGAACAGAUCAGAUAUUAACAGGAGCAUUUAUUCAAAUUGCAGGUAAACGCAGUCAGCAAGACAUGCUGAUAAUAGUCUGUUCCUAUUCAGAGUCCUGCUUUCUCCUUAUGAAAUUAGCUAGGAAGUUGCCAUUCCCUCAUAAACAUGUUAAACAAUCUCAGAACAAACAGCCUGGGACUUUUCAAACACCAAAGCUUUACACUUGCCAGGUCAGCUCUAAAACAAGUCUCUCCUUCCUGCUUGUCUUGAAGUUCUGCACCAAAGGGGAAAUCCUUUUUGAAGUCAGCAGCAGAACUCCCAUUGAAGUCAAUGGGCUGGGUUUUCUUCCCAAGGGCAAAGAUGAGGAUAAUCAGAGAAAGAACACAUCUGCUAAGUGCCCAGUACUUGCCAGACCUCUGCAAGAUUUUAAAGCAAGGCAGAAACUAGUCUUCCCCUGCUCCUAGUUCUCUGUGUAAAGAGUUAGUCACUGCUUCAUCAGUCCUUAGCCUUGUUGUCUGCACAAACUGACCACUGAACUGCAAGCUGGAUAUGAUGCACUCAAAUCCUACCCAAGCCCAUGGAUUGCUCGGGCUUCGAGCAUUUGUCACAAACCUUUGUUGCAUUCUGGUCCCAUCCAGCCUUCCAAGCAGGUUUUGUUGCCAUUCUGGUCACAGGUGUGGUGAGUGAAGAAGUCAUCUCUUGGUCGACAAAACUUGUUGCAGCCAAAGCCAUAGUAAUGUUCUGCACAAGUCACACGGAUUUGAUACUCAAAGUGGGCGACUCCUGCGUUAUGUUUCAAAGUCUGCCACUGACGGCUUGGAUUGAUCAUGCCAGAGUGGGACGCCUUCUCAAUAAUGCGAUCGGGAUCUAGGAGUCAGAAGAGAUGUCAGAGUUAAGACUUCAUUUACGUAUCAUUACCUCCCACAUCACAGCGCUCUGCCUUCGCAGACCAGACUGAGGCAGCCAGUUGGUUUUCUUCAUUUUCUGUUUUAGAGAGUAAGAUAAGGCUGCCCUGGAGCUACAAACCAUUAACUGAAACACACAUGCAGCAUUAUCAAACUGAAUAAAGCUUGAAAUCAAAAGGGACUGUUAGGUUACUGCAAAUCACUUAUCCCGUUUGCAGCGUAAGGGCAUUCCGUAAGAAUCCUGCAGUUUGUGAUUAAAGAAAAUUCAGCUGCUUUUACUUCUAGCUCCAAUUGAUUGGUAUAUAAUAUGGUUUUCCAGGCUUCUCCAUUAAUGGUACUAGUUUUGUUUAUAACUGGAAUAUUUACAAAACCAUGAUACUACAAUAGCCUAACAAAGCAACGUCUACAAACCGAACAUGAGCACCACAAAAGGUUUGUGGCCUUCUGGGACACCAGUUGAACUGAAAAUGAGCAACUCUGGCAUUCAGAAGACAUCAGUGAUCUCACCAGGUUUUGGCCAAGAAAUACCAUGGAGAUUCUUUCUUCCGAUGCUAGCUGACACUGAAAAUUCAAAACUACCACAACUUGAAGCAGAGAAUUCAAAUUACCGCAUAUAUUUGCCAGAGACCCCCCUUCUCUCUACUGAGUAUUUCAAAGUUUAGGCUUUGUACUUGACAUCUAGUUCCAGCAAGAGCCUUCUGGCUUUUAGAGCCCUACAACUGUCUAAAUUAUGGCUCGAAAUAAUAAUAUUUCGCAUUAGCGCA